GCCCACCAAAACUUUCCACCGCCAUGGACGAGGGCGACAUCACAAUGUCGACGACCAAUGUAAGUGUGGGUCACCGUCUCCGCCCCACCUCUUUCGCAGGCAAUACCUCCACAAGAAAACGUACCAGAACGGGUCGCACACCACAACUCAGUACUUCAACG